GACGUAGGGGGCGAGCGUUAUUCGGAAUCAUUGGGCGUAAAGCGCUCGUAGGCGGCUUAAAAAGUCCGUGAAGAAAGACCCGGGCUCAACUCGGGGAACGGCACCGAUACUGUUGGUCUUGAGGCAAUCAGAGGGUAAUGGAAUUCCCGGUGUAGCGGUGAAAUGCGUAGAGAUCAGGAAGAACACCGGUGGCGAAAGCGCUCUACUAGGCCGCAACUGACACUGAGGGACGAAAGCUAGGGGAGCGAAUGGG
rnacentral:rRNA from 1 species